CCUACGGGUGGCAGCAGUGGGGAAUAUUGGACAAUGGGGGGAACCCUGAUCCAGCGACGCCGCGUGAGUGAAGAAGGAUUUCGGUAUGUAAAGCUCUAUCAGCAGGGAAGAAAGGAAUGACGGUACCGGACUAAGAAGCCUCGGCUAACGACGUGCCAGCAGCCGCGGUAAUACGUAGGGGGCAAGCCUUAGCCGGAUUUACUGGGUGUAAAGGGAGAGGAGACGGUUACGCAAGUCUGGAGUGAAAGGCGGGGGCCCCACCCCCGGACUGCUUUUGAAACUGUAUCCCUGGCGUGCAGGAGAGGUAAGUGGAAUUCCUAGUGUAGCGGUGAAAUCCUUAGAUAUUAGGCGGACCACCCGUGGCGACGGCGGCUUACUGGACUGUAACUGACGUUGAGGCUCGAAAGCGUGGGUAUCAAACAGGAUUAGAUACCCUGGUAGUC
rnacentral:rRNA from 1 species